rnacentral:rRNA from 1 species
UCCACGCCGUAAACGGUGGGUACUAGGUGUGGGUUUCCUUCCUUGGGAUCCGUGCCGUAGCUAACGCAUUAAGUACCCCGCCUGGGGAGUACGGCCGCAAGGCUAAAACUCAAAGAAAUUGACGGGGGCCCGCACAAGCGGCGGAGCAUGUGGAUUAAUUCGAUGCAACGCGAAGAACCUUACCUGGGUUUGACAUGCACAGGACGUGCCUAGAGAUAGG